rnacentral:rRNA from 1 species
UAGCGGCAGGCUUAACACAUGCAAGUCGAGGGCAGCACGAUGUAGCAAUACAGUGGGUGGCGACCGGCGCACGGGUGCGUAACACGUAUGGAAUCUGCCCUGUACUGGGAGAUAGCCCUCCGAAAGGAGGAUUAAUAUCCCAUGAUCGCCGAGGUGGCAUCACCUUGGUCUGAAAGCUCCGGCGGUACAGGAUGACCAUGCGCACGAUUAGCUAGUUGGUGAGGUAACGGCUCACCAAGGCUACGAUCGUUAGGGGGGCCUGAGAGGGUUAUCCCCCCACACUGGUACUGAGACACGGACCAGACUCCUACGGGAGGCAGCAGUGAGGAAUAUUGGACAAUGGGCGCAAGCCUGAUCCAGCCAUGCCGCGUGCAGGAUGACGGUCCUAUGGAUUGUAAACUGCUUUUACACAGGAAGAAACAACGCUACGUGUAGCGUCUUGACGGUACUGUGAGAAUAAGGAUCGGCUAACUCCGUG